rnacentral:rRNA from 1 species
AGCGAACGCUGGCGGCAGGCCUAACACAUGCAAGUCGAACGAACCUUUCGGGGUUAGUGGCGGACGGGUGAGUAACACGUGGGAACGUGCCUUUAGGUUCGGAAUAACUCAGGGAAACUUGUGCUAAUACCGAACGUGCCCUUCGGGGGAAAGAUUUAUCGCCUUUAGAGCGGCCCGCGUCUGAUUAGCUAGUUGGUUGAGGUAAUGGCUCACCAAGGCGACGAUCAGUAGCUGGUCUGAGAGGAUGAUCAGCCACAUUGGGACUGAGACACGGCCCAAACUCCUACGGGAGGCAGCAGUGGGGAAUCUUGCGCAAUGGGCGAAAGCCUGACGCAGCCAUGCCGCGUGAAUGAUGAAGGUCUUAGGAUUGUAAAAUUCUUUCACCGGGGACGAUAAUGACGGUACCCGGAGAAGAAGCCCCGGCUAACUUCGUG